UCUUGCUCUGACUUUUGUUAUAUUUGUUUGUUUGUGUUCACCUCACUGAUUAUACAUAUUUUAUAGGUCUUUCAUUUUAUUUGCAGAGAAUGCAUACUCAAAGGCUUUAUAGUGGGCUAGGUGGUGGGAAUGUGGAGUUGUAAGGGUUGCACAGAAACGGUGUCAACUUUGAAGAUGGGGACUCCUGUGAUCCUUAAG